UACAGAGGGUGCAAACGUUGUUCGGAAUUACUGGGCAUAAAGCGCACGUAGGCGGUCCUGUAAGUGUGGUGUGAAAUCCCACGGCUCACCCGUGGAACUGCGCCGCAUACUGCAGGACUCGAGGAUGGUAGAGGAGAGCGGAACUCCAGGUGGAGCGGUGAAAUGCGUAGAUAUCUGGAGGAACACCGGUGGCGAAGGCGGCUCUCUGGUCCAUUACUGACGCUGAGGUGCGAAAGCCAGGGUAGCUAACGGG
rnacentral:rRNA from 1 species